AGCAGGAUGGGCUGGUCAGUGGGACAGCCUCUGUGCACAUUUUGUGGCAAGUAGGAGUGACACAUCAUUCCUGGGAGGCCCCAUGGUUCCUGCCAAACCCAACCCCAGAAUUCUCCCUGAGGUGGUUUUACCAAACCCAUAACCCAGAACUGCUAUUGUGGUUUGGGGGUCAGCACCCACCAGUGCCAGGGCACUACUGGGAGGCUGGGACCUGACCAAAGCCCAUGGUGUCUGUGGCCUGAGGACAGGGUGUCUUGGGGCCAUGAGGACAGGCCACCAAUGGCCGUUGGGUCAUAGGGCCUGAGCCCCAGUGUUUGUCCUUCCCUGGCUCCUUCUGGUUCAGUCCCAUCAGGGCUCUGGAUCCCAAGACGCAGCAUCCAAGGUUCCCUCCAGGAAUCCUGGUGGCUUGGCUUACUUUGUCAUGUUUCAUCUGAUAGCAAAAAUAUCAGAUCGGCUGCACAGAAAAAAUGGCUCAAAGUGCUUAAUGACCAGAAGAAAUCUAGGAGCAGCAAGAAGAUGCCUCAGCUGCUCUACAAGGGAGUCCCAUUUCAGGUGUGGGGCUGGGUAUGGUCAUUCCUGCUGGAUGUCUAGAAGGUGAAAAACAAGGACCUAGGAAAAUACCAGAUACAGCAUUUCCACCGUCAUCCAGAGCAGGACAAACACGCCAGGUGGUGUCAGGAGCCUAGGUCUCCAGCUGGAGGGAACGUCAACCCUGCAGUGGGAGCCCAUCAUGCAUCCUAGGCACAGAUGCUAAUGUAGGCACCGCAGAAGCACUGCUGACUGUUUGGUGGUUGCCGUUAGGGCAGUGAGCCUUUUGUCCAUUCUGAGAUUGGGCUGGUUUCUCCUCUUGGCCCUGCCCUACAGACCAUAAAGGAAAACAGCAAGAGGUCCCCAGCAAACAUCUACAGAUGGCCCUGGACAUCAGCCACAUUCGGAGAAACAUGUCAUGUUCUGGGAGGGCUAAGGCAUCGACCAUUUUGCACACCCUGGUCAGAAUGAAACAUUCCUUGGGAACUUGGGCCAUGAGAAGCAUCCUUCCUGAUCACCUGACUGUAGAAACAUCCUUAUCGCACCCUCCCGGGCAAAGGCCCAACAGCCUGACUGCAGGAACAUCCUUGCCAUAUCCUGCUGGGCAGCAAGCUCUACCGCCCAGACCCCUCCUUCCCAGUCCCAUGAUCACCCCAGCCUGUGAGAGGCAGUUGGUGCUGGCAGUAAGCUGGUUUCCUCCUCUGCAGGGUUUUGCUAGUAAUAAAGGUGUUGCUGUUGAAGCCGC
rnacentral:lncRNA from 1 species